rnacentral:lncRNA from 1 species
AGACUGCUGUGCUAGCAAUCAGCGAGACUCCGUGGGCGUAGGACCCUCCGAGCCAGGCAUCAGCUAUCAAAACUUAUGGGAAAUGGAAUUGAAGACAACUACUUCUAGAAUUGGUGCAUGGAAGCUUCUCAUAGGUGAUUAGCCACACUCUUCUUCUGUCAACCUGGUGCAGAAAAGCUUGAAGACCUUGGAAAUCACAUAUUGAUGAUGGAGGAGAUACAAGAAUGAAGGACCCUGGGUUCCUGAAUCAACACUCUAAGAAGAGACUCCUUGAAAUCAAGAGCACUCAUUUUGACAUUGCAAACGGAAAAAUUCACUUCUAUCAGGUGUCAUUAGUUCCUUGCUAGAAUUUCUUUGGUGUCCUUUCUGCAUUUCAAACUCACAAAGGUUCUGUGAAAAGCAAUAUGUUCCCCAGUGGAGCUUAAAGUCUGGUGCAGAAAGCAGACAUUUAAC